GCAGGGAAGGCCUGAGCUGCAGCCAUAUUCCGGGUGGCUGGUCGGCGCGAGCAACGGGGGCAACGGCCGUGUUAGGCUGGAGGAGCGGGGCUGACAGAAGCUCGUUGUGGCGCAAGACUGGCAGCAGGGAGGUGUGGAGGAUAGCUAGUGGUGGCCUUCGCGAGGUGCUGCUGCCGGCCUCCUUGGGGAGCCGCCGGCGGCGAUCUCCUGUUGCCGGCCACCAUUCCGUAUCGUAACAGGACGCCACCCCAACUGGCUUCUCCCGUUGUUGCAUCGGCGGGCUGAUGUGGGAGGCGGAGAGGUUGAGCAGGAGGACCUGCAUAGCUCGGCUAGCUGUGGAGACCACAUGCAGCAACGAUAUCUUUGCCGGCGAUGACAACUAAUGAUGCCGCCACACCGUGCACAAUCCUGCUCGGGCCUUCCCGCCACCUGAACUGAGAGGACCCCUGCCCUGUUCUAGCUGCAGGACGAUGCGAGGCUGCUUCUGGUGCUUCAUGUUUGUUCCUUUGUCGACGUGUUUGUGCCAGUUUCAGCGGCUGAUCAAGAGUUCUCCCGUUGCGGCGAUGUAGAUGAUGCCAUUCAUGACAUUGUCUACUAGGCACCCAAAGUGGAUAAGUGGAGGUGGAGGUGGCUAGAAGGUAGCCAUGGCCAACCGGAUGUAGCCAGUUUGACCAACUAAUGUUCUUAUCAGCCAUUGUCUGCGGCUGGAGCAAGGACGUGCCGUGCACAGGGGAGUUCCACGAUGAACCCUUACUACUGAACAAAGCUCGUCAUUGAGCGCUUGGACCCUUUGGAAGAUCAUACUGCUCAUGUAUUUCAACCCGGUCGACGCUCACCCAAGUGGGCGCAAAUUGGUGAAAACCCCCUUUGGAAACCCAAACAACCUGAUGUCGUAUGUCCAGCAAUAAGUUGCCUGGAGGUGGCAUGUGUGUUCCCAUGAGAGAAAGGGGAUUUCCAGUUGGUGGAGCUUGCUAGGAGGUAGCGAUGGCUACCGGAUCUAUCCGAUUGGCAGGGGUGGUCUUCGUCCUUGACUUUGUUGGGGUUUAGCUCUGGAGCUGACCAUCAAGUUUCUGUUCAAGAUAUCCUGGAGGACUGCUAGAUGGCAGCGAGGAACCUGCAUCUGGAUGUAAGCUGGGAGAGCAAGGAAGGAUCCGCCUGUAUACACGCCUUGCAUCGUGCAACAUCUUUCUUUAUUUACUCUGGUUGUAAUGCAACGUAGCGGAGAUUUCAGAUUCGAAAGAAUCUCGUAUUGCAUCAUGUCGGUGUUCUAUGUAACCGUCAUACGAUGGGAUUGCGGAAACUUGUGCUGACGUGCGUGCAUCAGCUUUGCUUUGAUGCUGACUGUUGGGCAGUUACCCCGUUGAUGAUUAGAGUUGUGGUUGAGUUUGUA